rnacentral:rRNA from 1 species
AUGAGGAAAGGCCUCAACUCCCUUGUAGCUCUCACCGCUUGGAGCAUCUGGAAGCAUCGCAAUGCCGCUCUCUUCGAUGACCUCCGGCCAUCUACCGACGCCCUUGUCCGCACCAUCAAGGAGGAAGCCCGGCUUUGGUCCAGAGCCAGCGCCCUAGGCCUAGCAUCUAUUAUCCCUGUAACCUAG